ACUCCUACGGGAGGCAGCAGUGGGGAAUUUUGGACAAUGGGCGAAAGCCUGAUCCAGCAAUGCCGCGUGAGUGAAGAAGGCCUUCGGGUUGUAAAGCUCUUUUGUCAGGGAAGAAACGGUGAGAGCUAAUAUCUCUUGCUAAUGACGGUACCUGAAGAAUAAGCACCGGCUAACUACGUGCCAGCAGCCGCGGUAAUACGUAGGGUGCAAGCGUUAAUCGGAAUUACUGGGCGUAAAGCGUGCGCAGGCGGUUUUGUAAGUCUGAUGUGAAAUCCCCGGGCUCAACCUGGGAAUUGCAUUGGAGACAGCAAGGCGAGAAUCUGGCAGAGGGGGGUAGAAUUCCACGUGUAGCAGUGAAAUGCGUAGAUAUGUGGAGGAACACCGAUGGCGAAGGCAGCCCCCUGGGUCAAGAUUGACGCUCAUGCACGAAAGCGUGGGGAGCAAACAGGAUUAGAAACCCGGGUAGUCCCA
rnacentral:rRNA from 1 species